UGGUCACUAACACCAGCACAUUUCAUAGGAAGUGUGCGACAAUGCAGCCUGGUUCUGUGCUCUCUGGGAAUUUGGUCCAGCUGUAUUCGAGCUUGGAGAUUCAGACUCAGGCUCCCAUACUUGUGUGGCAAGCGCCGUAUCUGCUGAGCUCUUCUAUCUCUCUCGAUUCUCUGGAGAUCUAAUGAAUCCAGGUGGGAAGCUUGCCUGCCUGGCUCGGGUGAAAUCUUGGAUGGACAAGGGGAGACCAGCACCUUGCUACUUCAGGCACACACAGCCCUGCUAAUCAGUUUCAUCUCAGGUCCCCUGUCCAGGCCCUCAACUGACAUCUUGCUCCCAACCACACUCAGCUUUGCUUCCUUGACCUGCCUUACCUGGCUCCUUAGCUCUGACCUGCACCCCGAAGUUGCUGGUCCAGCUGGCAGAGCUGUCGGAGGAAGCCACGAUUGGGGAAGAUCCAUCGGCGCUCCCUCACAGUGAUUAUGGCCUGCUGCAAGGACAGCUGCUGGUGGAGCAUGAGGUAAGCCAGGACCAGUGUGGCAGAUCGGCUCACACCCACCACGCAGUGCACCAGCACCUUAGCUGAGGAAGACACUCAGAUGAAGGACUCCUCUCUACUAGCCAGCCCACCCAAGGUCCAUUCCCGAACCUGUGUUGGGUGUAUCAUGGUGUAUCAUGCCUGGGGCAAGUUCCUCAAUCUCU